rnacentral:rRNA from 2 species
UGGGGAAUAUUGCGCAAUGGGGGAAACCCUGACGCAGCGACGCCGCGUGAAGGAAGAAGGCUUUCGGGUUGUAAACUUCUUUGAUCGGGGACGAAGAUGACGGUACCCGAGGAACAAGCCACGGCUAACUACGUGCCAGCAGCCGCGGUAAUACGUAGGUGGCGAGCGUUGUCCGGAAUUACUGGGUGUAAGGGGCGUGUAGGCGGGGCGGCAAGUCAGAUGUGAAAUACCUCGGCUUAACUGGGGUGCUGCAUCUGAAACUGUGUUUCUUGAGUGUCGGAGAGGAAAGCGGAAUUCCUAGUGUAGCGGUGAAAUGCGUAGAUAUUAGGAGGAACACCAGUGGCGAAGGCGGCUUUCUGGACGACAACUGACGCUGAGGCGCGAAAGCGUGGGGAGCAAACAGG